GCCCGCCUAGCUCAAUCGGAUAGAGCGUCAGACUUUUAAGUUUGUAACAAAGGCGGCUUACGUAAUCUGAAGGCUGCGAGUUCGACCCUCGCGGUGGGCU